rnacentral:rRNA from 1 species
UGGAAAGAUGAAUCAAAGAAGGUAAUAAUCCUGUAGUCGAAAAUGUUGUCUCUCUUGAGUGGAUCCUGAGUACGACGGAGCACGUGAAAUUCCGUCGGAAUCUGGGAGGACCAUCUCCUAAGGCUAAAUACUCUCUAGUGACCGAUAGUGAACCAGUACCGUGAGGGAAAGGUGAAAAGCACCCCGGAAGGGGAGUGAAAUAGAACCUGAAACCGUGUGCUUACAAGUAGUCAGAGCCCGUUAAUGGGUGAUGGCGUGCCUUUUGUAGAAUGAACCGGCGAGUUACGAUUUGAUGCAAGGUUAAGCAGUAAAUGUGGAGCCGUAGCGAAAGCGAGUCUGAAUAGGGCGUUUAGUAUUUGGUCGUAGACCCGAAACCAGGUGAUCUACCCUUGGUCAGGUUGAAGUUCAGGUAACACUGAAUGGAGGACCGAACCGACUUACGUUGAAAAGUGAGCGGAUGAACUGAGGGUAGCGGAGAAAUUCCAAUCGAACCUGGAGAUAGCUGGUUCUCUCCGAAAUAGCUUUAGGGCUAGCCUCAAGUGAUGAUUAUUGGAGGUAGAGCACUGUUUGGACGAGGGGCCCCUCUCGGGUUACCGAAUUCAGACAAACUCCGAAUGCCAAUUAAUUUAACUUGGGAGUCAGAACAUGGGUGAUAAGGUCCGUGUUCGAAAGGGAAACAGCCCAGACCACCAGCUAAGGUCCCAAAAUAUAUGUUAAGUGGAAAAGGAUGUGGCGUUGCCCAGACAACUAGGAUGUUGGCUUAGAAGCAGCCAUCAUUUAAAGAGUGCGUAAUAGCUCACUAGUCGAGUGACACUGCGCCGAAAAUGUACCGGGGCUAAACAUAUUACCGAAGCUGUGGAUUGUCCUUUGGACAAUGGUAGGAGAGCGUUCUAAGGGCGUUGAAGCAUGAUCGUAAGGACAUGUGGAGCGCUUAGAAGUGAGAAUGCCGGUGUGAGUAGCGAAAGACGGGUGAGAAUCCCGUCCACCGAUUGACUAAGGUUUCCAGAGGAAGGCUCGUCCGCUCUGGGUUAGUCGGGUCCUAAGCUGAGGCCGACAGGCGUAGGCGAUGGAUAACAGGUUGAUAUUCCUGUACCACCUAUAAUCGUUUUAAUCGAUGGGGGGACGCAGUAGGAUAGGCGAAGCGUGCGAUUGGAUUGCACGUCUAAGCAGUAAGGCUGAGUAUUAGGCAAAUCCGGUACUCAUUAAGGCUGAGCUGUGAUGGGGAGAAGACAUUGUGUCUUCGAGUCGUUGAUUUCACACUGCCGAGAAAAGCCUCUAGAUAGAAAAUAGGUGCCCGUACCGCAAACCGACACAGGUAGUCAAGAUGAGAAUUCUAAGGUGAGCGAGCGAACUCUCGUUAAGGAACUCGGCAAAAUGACCCCGUAACUUCGGGAGAAGGGGUGCUCUUUAGGGUUAACGCCCAGAAGAGCCGCAGUGAAUAGGCCCAAGCGACUGUUUAUCAAAAACACAGGUCUCUGCUAAACCGUAAGGUGAUGUAUAGGGGCUGACGCCUGCCCGGUGCUGGAAGGUUAAGAGGAGUGGUUAGCUUCUGCGAAGCUACGAAUCGAAGCCCCAGUAAACGGCGGCCGUAACUAUAACGGUCCUAAGGUAGCGAAAUUCCUUGUCGGGUAAGUUCCGACCCGCACGAAAGGCGUAACGAUUUGGGCACUGUCUCAACGAGAGACUCGGUGAAAUCAUAGUACCUGUGAAGAUGCAGGUUACCCGCGACAGGACGGAAAGACCCCGUGGAGCUUUACUGUAGCCUGAUAUUGAAAUUCGGCACAGCUUGUACAGGAUAGGUAGGAGCCUUUGAAACGUGAGCGCUAGCUUACGUGGAGGCGCUGGUGGGAUACUACCCUAGCUGUGUUGGCUUUCUAACCCGCACCACUUAUCGUGGUGGGAGACAGUGUCAGGCGGGCAGUUUGACUGGGGCGGUCGCCUCCUAAAAGGUAACGGAGGCGCUCAAAGGUUCCCUCAGAAUGGUUGGAAAUCAUUCAUAGAGUGUAAAGGCAUAAGGGAGCUUGACUGCGAGACCUACAAGUCGAGCAGGGUCGAAAGACGGACUUAGUGAUCCGGUGGUUCCGCAUGGAAGGGCCAUCGCUCAACGGAUAAAAGCUACCCCGGGGAUAACAGGCUUAUCUCCCCCAAGAGUUCACAUCGACGGGGAGGUUUGGCACCUCGAUGUCGGCUCAUCGCAUCCUGGGGCUGUAGUCGGUCCCAAGGGUUGGGCUGUUCGCCCAUUAAAGCGGUACGCGAGCUGGGUUCAGAACGUCGUGAGACAGUUCGGUCCCUAUCCGUCGUGGGCGUAGGAAAUUUGAGAGGAGCUGUCCUUAGUACGAGAGGACCGGGAUGGACAU